CAGAUUUACCAGCUUGUUUACUGCUUCUCUUGAUGAAGGAGAACAGGCUAACCCAACAGCCAGAGGCAGGAACUAUAGCAAAAAAUGUCGGGGGAACUCCCAAUCUAUCAUUUCAUUGGUGCCAGUAAUUCAGCAAGAUCCAUGGCACUACAGCAUUUGCUAUGCUUAAACAAACAUCCAGUUAAACUUGAUGGUGGUGUAGACAAUGGAUGCUCAGCAGAGAACCUGACAUCACUCCUGAAGUGGCAGAAAUGCGUUGUUCACUUACCUUCCUGAAAGAAUGGUUUAAUAAUUCAUCUAGAAGUAUUUUCCCUCAGAAAAUAAUUCACUGGUGAAUAAUGAGAGAAUGGUUUCAGUGUUAUACAAGAGCAUGUGCUCUGUGCAAUUGUUAGAGGGAGAAAAUCACUUCAGCGAGGGCUCAGCCCAAGCAUUCUACACCAUUACGUUUGAUGGUGCCACUCAAAGCAGUGCCAUACAGUCUGUCUUGACCACGAGAAACAAGAAGCCAUAAAGCCCCGUGCUCUUGGCAGGCAAGGGGGAUUACUUUAAAUCUGAGGAUAAUUUUUUUUUCAGGAAAAACUGAAGGCUGAUUUAUUUUACAGAGAUCUCUGUGCUACAUUGCCUGUGCUUGUUUGCGUGCAGCUUGCUCAUGUCAUGUGCUGGACCACACUGGGGACAUAGAUACAUCCUAAUGGCACAUAUAAGGAGAGUUCUUUCCAGGAAGGAAGGACAACAGGAGGUUUGAGAAAGAAGCUCCACACAGCUCUGGUCCAAAGUCACAGAAGGAGAGGAACCAGAAAGAAGGGAAGAACCAGGAUCUCAAAACUAUUCAGUCACAGCAGCGCUUCCUGAGCCGAGUCUCACAUCAUGUGGAAUACCCUGAUUUGAUCUAACUGCAAGGAACAGUUUCCCACUUUUAUACAUGGAGGUAUUUUGGAAGAGGGUUUUGUUUUUGUUUUAAAUGCAACCCUGCUGUUCCAGUUCACAUUUUGUUUUCCCUAAGAGAAAAGAAAAACAACUGGAAAAUGGAUAAGAACUGUAUUGUUCCAAUCCCUACUUUCUGCCAUUUCAGUUAAUUACUGUAUUGCAGAAGUUGGUGACACUUUUCAAGAAACUGAAGUGAGCUGACCAUUGUGAAGGAAGAGAGGCUGACAGCAGAAGAGAGAGGCAAAGGGAUAAUGCCCCAGAGGCAGAAAAAAGCCAUGAGCAAAUUGAAUUACCACAGCCCAUCCCAGUGAGUCCUCUGCCCUCUCUUGUCUACCUCACUUUGCUCAUUUAACCUAAAGAAAGACUUGUAGUACUGUAAAAGAGUAAAAUCUAUCCCUUAUAACAGACAGUGUGACUUAGACGCAUGAGGACAGCCUUUGGGCCUUGUAUUCCAGCUAUACAGGCAGCACUUCCAUGUGGGAGCAAGGCGGAUGUGGUACCCACCCUAUCUGCAGGACAUAGGCUGCAGCCAUCUAUGCCCUUGUGGCCCUAUCUUGGCUUGAUGAAUUCCUCUCCACCUCAUCCUCUAUCUUGUCAGUGCUGAGCAUCAUGAUGUUAAGCCUAUUGGAAUACUUGUCUUAAAUCACAUGGAAAUAUAAAGCCUCUUCUCACAGGUGAAAUUCAGAGGCAAACACAAAGACCUGCCUGGUGCUUACAAGCUUCAUUACAACUUGUGCUGGCCAUGAUGGUCUCCCACUCCAAAGGAAGCGCCUAUAGAGCUGUGCAAAACUCAUCCCAUCCUGCUGAGAAUUUUCAGAUCUCAGAUUUUGCUUUGUCACCAACACAAAGAAAGCCGACCAGCUCUCCUCAGUGCCUGUGCCUGUUCAGGCUGCUCCCCUUAUUGAUGGGAGAAGGUGCUUCUGCUGAGGGACCUGUCUCACUGGAGGUAAAGAUGGAUGCAGAUCAAGCUGAUGUCAAGACUCCCAGAGCCCUAGUUUUCCUCUAGCUUCUGCUCCUGACAGCUGGGAGGGAAUGGGGAGCAGCCACCCCAGAACACUGAGUAAUUAUUUGCCUCUCUUGAACAAAUUGGAAGGAAGCUAGACAUUUUGUGAUGGAAAUUUUUCAGCUUCCCAUACAUUCCUCAGUAAAGUCAUGCCAUCCAUGUGGAAAGUUUUGAUUGUGACUCGUCAAUGAAGAAACAUGCCAUUGAGUAAUUGCUGUCCUGGCUUUAUUUGCAGUUGUCCUUCUUUUUGAACAUUAAUGAGAAAGCAACCUUAUGAGUCAGAAGCAGUUGGUGGGAGAGAACUUAACUGAGCUUACCUUUACUUCUUGUACUUGUAACUCAGAUAAGAUACGAUGACCUCUUUCUCUUCUGUCUGCCUAGACCAUUCCCCAUCUCCAGCUGUGGACUAGCAGAUAGCUAGAAAUGGGUUGAUGCUCAUCUUAACCAAAACAGAGAUGUCAG
ensembl:lncRNA